UGGGGAAUAUUGGACAAUGGGGGCAACCCUCAUCCAGCAAUGCCGCGUGUGUGAAGAAGGCCUUCGGGUUGUAAAGCUCUUUUAGCGGGGAAGAUAAUGACGGUACCCGCAGAAUAAGCCCCGGCUAACUCUGUGCCAGCAGCCGCGGUAAUACAGAGGGUGCAAGCGUUAAUCGGAAUUACUGGGCGUAAAGCGUGCGUAGGUGGUUUGUUAAGUCAGGUGUGAAAUCCUCGGGCUCAACCCGGGAACUGCGCUUGAUACUGGCAGACUCGAGUGUGGUAGAGGAUAGUGGAAUUCCCGGUGUAGCGGUGAAAUGCGUAGAUAUCGGGAGGAACAUCAGUGGCGAAGGCGGCUAUCUGGACCAACACUGACACUGAGGUACGAAAGCGUGGGUAGCAAACAGGAUUAGAUACCCUGGUAGUCCACGCCCUAAACGAUGGGUACUAGACGUCGGGAAGCUUGUCUUCUUGGUGUCGCAGCUAACGCAAUAAGUACCCCGCCUGGGGAGUACGGUCGCAAGAUUA
rnacentral:rRNA from 1 species